AUCAGAUUAUGCCAGACAAUGGAAGAGCUAGCAUUGACUGUGAAGAUACUCCACUGUCCCUGUGUGGUGACAACAAACACUUGUGCUGAGAUCUUUGUACCCUGAAACUUGUCUGUGUCUUCCAAAUCAUCUAGAAUUUCUCAAAGGAAAAGAUAAUUCAUUGUCCUGUUGCCUCAAAGCAGCUGUUGCAGAUGUUUGGAGAGAAGGUGUAUGUAAACAUCCUGAAGGAAGUGUCUGUCCACUGCAAGAGAUUUGAAGUAGCAGAAUGACCUUCUUAAUCAGGGAUCAGUUUCUGUUCCAUUCUUGGGAGUUAAGCACCAGAAGAACAAAGCCACCACUGCAAACGUGAGCACAGAGGAACCCUAAACAGUGUCGUCUGGUUAUUCACCAGGGCUAUUUUGGGAUGGAGAUGUGUAGAAAGAAGACAACAAGAGAAGGGAAGAGACCCAUUGGUUGAGGAGAGGUGCCCAGAGCAAAGACAAGGAAGGUUUAGGCAUUGACAGACAUUUGCUUCACAGCAUUGCUCCUGAGUUCUUCCUGCCGAUUUCUGUAAGAUGGAGUUGUCAAACAUUUGAGUACAUCCACUGAUGCCUGGGAGACCAAGAGUACACGGGGACAUCCUUCUUCCUCCCACAGAUCUACUUCUGAUGGAAAAUUCACUUAAGCAGCAUAAUCAAGACCAACUAAGAAAGGUUAGCCACGGUCAAAGGAAAUUGAUGAAGAGUGGCUAUUAAGGGAUGGAGCAUAUGUACGCAGACUAUGGUUAAAUAACGCCCAGACAACAGGCAGACAAGCAAAGGGUGGCUGGCGACUGGACAUAUCACCCAUGCCUGUAGUACUGGGUAGCCAUUCCAGCUUUGAUCUGGAAGUUUCAACCCCAUUGAGGCCUUGGUAAUGGGCAUGCCUACAAGGCAGGGUGGAAAGAGGACCCUGAAGACCCGAGAUCUGGAUGUGCCAGCUCUCUUGGUUCCUGGACCCUGGAUGCUGGAGCUAGACCAAGCAGAGUUCUCCAGAGAACA